ensembl:misc_RNA Metazoa_SRP Metazoan signal recognition particle RNA
UCUCACUGUGGUGGCACGUGCUGUCAGUCCCAGCUACUCUGGAGGCUGAGGCUGAAGGAUCACUUAGAGUCCAGGAGUUGUGGAAUAUAGUGUGCUGUGCCUAUUGGGUGUCUGCACUAAGUUUGGCAUCAAAAUGGUGACCUCCCAGGAACAGGGGCCAAGAGGUUGCCUAAGGAGGGUUAAACCAUCCAGGUCAGAAACGGAACAGGCCGGAACAGGCCGAUCAGCAGUAGGAUCGUGCCUGUGAAUAGCCAGUGCACUCUAGCCUGGGCAACAGAGUGAAAUUCAGUCU